rnacentral:rRNA from 1 species
UUAACGCUGGCGGCAAGCCUAACACAUGCAAGUCGAGCGGCAGCGAAAGAGAGCUUGCUCUCUUGUCGGCAAGCGGCAAACGGGUGAGUAAUAUCUGGGGAUCUACCCAAAAGAGGGGGAUAACUACUAGAAAUGGUAGCUAAUACCGCAUAAUGUUGAAAAACCAAAGUGGGGGACCUUUUGGCCUCAUGCUUUUGGAUGAACCCAGACGAGAUUAGCUUGUUGGUAGAGUAAUAGCCUACCAAGGCAACGAUCUCUAGCUGGUCUGAGAGGAUAACCAGCCACACUGGAACUGAGACACGGUCCAGACUCCUACGGGAGGCAGCAGUGGGGAAUAUUGCACAAUGGGCGAAAGCCUGAUGCAGCUAUGCCGCGUGUAUGAAGAAGGCCUUAGGGUUGUAAAGUACUUUCAGCGGGGAGGAAAAAAAUAAAUCUAAUAAAUUUAUUUCGUGACGUUACCCGCAGAAGAAGCACCGGCUAACUCCGUGCCAGCAGCCGCGGUAAUACGGAGGGUGCAAGCGUUAAUCAGAAUUACUGGGCGUAAAGAGCACGUAGGUGGUUUUUUAAGUCAGGUGUGAAAUCCCUAGGCUCAACCUAGGAACUGCAUUUGAAACUGAAAAACUAGAGUCUCGUAGAGGGAGGUAGAAUUCUAGGUGUAGCGGUGAAAUGCGUAGAUAUCUGGAGGAAUACCUGUGGCGAAAGCGGCCUCCUAAACGAAUACUGACGCUGAGGUGCGAAAGCGUGGGGAGCAAACAGGAUUAGAUACCCUGGUAGUCCAUGCCGUAAACGAUGUCGACUUGGAGGUUGUUUCCAAGAGAAGUGACUUCCGAAGCUAACGCAUUAAGUCGACCGCCUGGGGAGUACGGCCGCAAGGCUAAAACUCAAAUGAAUUGACGGGGGCCCGCACAAGCGGUGGAGCAUGUGGUUUAAUUCGAUGCGACGCGAAAAACCUUACCUGGUCUUGACAUCCACAGAAUUUUUUAGAAAUAAAAAAGUGCCUUCGGGAACUGUGAGACAGGUGCUGCAUGGCUGUCGUCAGCUCGUGUUGUGAAAUGUUGGGUUAAGUCCCGCAACGAGCGCAACCCUUGUCCUUUGUUGCCAGCGCGUGAUGGCGGGAACUCAAAGGAGACUGCCGGUGAUAAACCGGAGGAAGGUGAGGAUGACGUCAAGUCAUCAUGGCCCUUACGAGUAGGGCUACACACGUGCUACAAUGGCGCAUACAAAGAGCAGCGAGCGUGCGAACGUAAGCAAACCUCAUAAAGUGCGUCGCAGUCCGGAUUGGAGUCUGCAACUCGACUCCAUGAAGUCGGAAUCGCUAGUAAUCGUAGAUCAGAAUGCUACGGUGAAUACGUUCCCGGGCCUUGUACACACCGCCCGUCACACCAUGGGAGUGGGCGGCAAAAGAAGUAGGUAGCUUAACCUUCGGGGGGGCGCUUACCACUUUGUGGUUCAUGACUGGGGUG